AUGUAUGGCGUGGAUUCGAAUCUGUAUGUGUCGGUCUCGAGGAUGUAUGGAACUGCGAAAUAUGUAAUCACAAACCUGGCCGUGGGUUGGAAGCAACUGUUGAGGUUCUUCCCUGGCUUUUCAAAUGAUGAUCGUCCGAAACGUACACAACAAGAACAAUUGGAAAGCUGGCAGAAAAACAGGAGGACACUUAUUAUAUUGCUCCAAAAGUUCUAUUGA